CCCUUAGAUGUUCUGGGCCGCACGCGUGCUACACUGAGUGGAGCAGCGGGUCAGGUUGCGCGAAAGUGUUUCCUAAUCUUUAAAUCCGCUCGUGAUGGGGAUUGACGGUUGCAAUUUUCCGUCAUGAACGAGGAAUACCUUGUAAGCGCGGGUCAUCAUCCCGCGCUGAAUACGUCCCUGCCCUUUGUACACACCGCCCGUCGCUCCUACCGAUUGAGUGGUCCGGUGAGGCUUUGGGAUCUGAGCGGAAAGAGCGUUUCGCUGUUUCUGCCCGGAAAACUCAGUCGAACCUUAUCAUUUAGAGGAAGGAGAAGUCGUAACA
rnacentral:rRNA from 1 species